CUGGGGUUUUUUUCUUUCUUUUGCGUCUUCGGCUCGUUCCCUUUUGCGUCCUCUCGGCUGCGCUUCAUCCGCUGUGGUGCGGGCCCGGCAACCCGCGUUUGCUGCUCUAUGUGGUCGGCGUGAUCGGAGGGUACAGAAUGGAUCCCAGAGAGGGGGUCGCUGCUGGGCCUUCAAGAGAGCCCCCCGUAGAGCUCUGCAGCCUUUCGUCUCCUGAUCUCCGGCGUAAGCAUUUGUAUCCUGGCCUGUCGUAGGAAACGCGUGGUCUGGGAGCAUCUUCGUGUGCUGGGCAAACUUGGAAAAGAAUGGAGAUUCAGCCGUAGCUAAUUUUACUUGUAAGUAAGAGUUACUGUUGGCGGAAAGCAGACUUCGAGUAGACCAGGAAUGAGAUGUUGGUUAGGAGCCCAGUGAGCCACAGGACAGUACGUAGAUGCAGCCUGAUGAGCUUGGUUCAUUCUGACCUGCAGCAGGAAUUUCUCAACUAUGGAGCUGGACUCCAAGUCUUGGAAAAGAUUGAUCCUGUGCUUUCCUGAGAAAGAGUGAUAGUUCUGGUUGAAUCUGUCUCAAAAAGGUUUUGUGUAACCUGAGGAUUGUCUAGAGGCCUGUGCCCAUUUUGGAGAAUCCAGGAGUAUGGUUAAACUUGGUAAAAUUUUUAGCUUGUAUCAUUCCUAUCUGGAUGAGAAAAUAAAAUUCUUAAAACAAAAA